rnacentral:rRNA from 1 species
GUGAUUUAUGAGGACGAAACUUCGGUCUAGGAAUCAUAAUGAAAGCGGCGGACGGGUGAGUAACGCGUAGGCAACCUGCCCUUGACACAGGGAUAGCCUCAGGGAAACCUGGGAUUAAAACCUGAUGACGCCAAACAGUCACAUGGCUGUUUGGCCAAAGAUUUAUCGGUCAAGGAUGGGCCUGCGUCUGAUUAGUUUGUUGGUGGGGUAACGGCCUACCAAGACGACGAUCAGUAGCCGACCUGAGAGGGUGAUCGGCCACAUUGGAACUGAGACACGGUCCAAACUCCUAUGGGAGGCAGCAGUGGGGAAUAUUGCACAAUGGGCGAAAGCCUGAUGCAGCAACGCCGCGUGAGCGAUGAAGGCCUUUGGGUCGUAAAGCUCUGUCCUUGGGGAAGAAACAAAUGACGGUACCCAAGGAGGAAGCCCCGGCUAACUACGUGCCAGCAGCCGCGGUAAUACGUAGGGGGCAAGCGUUAUCCGGAAUUAUUGGGCGUAAAGAGUACGUAGGUGGUCUUUUAAGCGCAGGGUUUAAGGCAAUGGCUUAACCAUUGUUCGCCCUGUGAACUGGAAGACUUGAGUGUAGGAGAGGAAAGUGGAAUUCCUAGUGUAGCGGUGAAAUGCGUAGAUAUUAGGAGGAACAUCAGUGGCGAAGGCGACUUUCUGGACUAUUACUGACACUGAGGUACGAAAGUGUGGGGAGCAAACAGGAUUAGAUACCCUGGUAGUCCACGCCGUAAACGAUGAGCACUAGGUGUCGGGGUCGCAAGACUUCGGUGCCGU